AUUGAACGCUGGCGGCAGGCCUAACACAUGCAAGUCGAGCGGAUGAAGGGAGCUUGCUCCUGGAUUCAGCGGCGGACGGGUGAGUAAUGCCUAGGAAUCUGCCUGGUAGUGGGGGAUAACGUCCGGAAACGGGCGCUAAUACCGCAUACGUCCUGAGGGAGAAAGUGGGGGAUCUUCGGACCUCACGCUAUCAGGUGAGCCUAGGUCGGAUUAGCUAGUUGGUGGGGUAAAGGCCUACCGAGGCGACGAUCCGUAACUGGUCUGAGAGGAUGAUCAGUCACACUGGAACUGAGACACGGUCCAGACUCCUACGGGAGGCAGCAGUGGGGAAUAUUGGACAAUGGGCGAAAGCCUGAUCCAGCCAUGCCGCGUGUGUGAAGAAGGUCUUCGGAUUGUAAAGCACUUUAAGUUGGGAGGAAGGGCAGUAAGUUAAUACCUUGCUGUUUUGACGUUACCAACAGAAUAAGCACCGGCUAACUUCGUG
rnacentral:rRNA from 1 species